CCUACGGGAGGCAGCAGUGGGGAAUAUUGCACAAUGGGGGAAACCCUGAUGCAGCAACGCCGCGUGAGUGAAGACGUAUUUCGGUAUGUAAAGCUCUAUCAGCAGUGAAGAAGACAGACGGUACCUGACUAAGAAGCCCCGGCUAACUACGUGCCAGCAGCCGCGGUAAUACGUAGGGGGCAAGCGUUAUCCGGAUUUACUGGGUGUAAAGGGAGCGUAGGCGGCGGUGCAAGUCUGCAGUGAAAGCCAAGGGCUCAACCCUGGGACUGCUUUGGAAACUGGGGAGCUAGAGUGAUGGAGAGGUAAGUGGAAUUCCGAGUGUAGCGGUGAAAUGCGUAGAUAUUAGGAGGAACACCAGUGGCGAAGGCGGCUUACUGGACAGUAACUGACGUUGAGGCUCGAAAGCGUGGGGAGCAAACAGGAUUAGAUACCCGUGUAGUC
rnacentral:rRNA from 1 species